AACGAACGCUGGCGGCAGGCCUAACACAUGCAAGUCGAGCGCGCCCUUCGGGGUGAGCGGCGGACGGGUGAGUAACGCGUGGGAACGUUCCCUUUUCUACGGAAUAUCCUCUGGAAACUGAGAGUAAUACCGUAUACGCCCUUUUGGGGAAAGAUUUAUCGGAAAAGGAUCGGCCCGCGUUGGAUUAGGUAGUUGGUGGGGUAAUGGCCUACCAAGCCGACGAUCCAUAGCUGGUUUGAGAGGAUGAUCAGCCACAAUGGGACUGAGACACGGCCCAGACUCCUACGGGAGGCAGCAGUGGGGAAUCUUAGACAAUGGGGGCAAGUGUGAUCUAGCCAUGCCGCGUGAGUGAUGAAGGCCUUAGGGUUGUAAAGCUCUUUCAGCUGGGAAGAUAAUGACGGUACCAGAAGAAGAAGCCCCGGCUAACUCCGUG
rnacentral:rRNA from 1 species